rnacentral:lncRNA from 1 species
CAAACCCCAACAGAGCCCAACACCACCGCAGUUCCACUAGAUCACAGUCAACCAAACCCCAACAGAGCCCGACACCACAGUUCCGCUCACAACCGACCCCCAACAGAGCCCAGGACAGCCACAGUUCCUCUAGAUCACAACCAAACUCCAGAGCCCAACACAGCCACAGUUCCACUAGAUCACAGUCAACCAAACCCCAACAGAGCCCAACACCACCACAGUUCCGCUAGAUCACAACCAAAUUCCAACAGAGCCCAACACAGCCACAGUUCCACUAGAUCACAGUCAACCAAACCCCAACAGAGCCCAACACCACCACAGUUCCACUAGAUCACAGUCAACCAAACCCCAACAGAGCCCAACACCGCCACAGUUCUGCUGGAUCGCAACCAACCAAAUCCCAAUGAAGCCACGCGUGUGGACAAGAUAAACCCAUGACUGCUGAGAUCACAAGGUCCCUAUCUGAGUUUCUCUGCGACAAAUCUUCCCAAAGUUUAUUAAGAACACACAGCUUAAUGAAAUCAUUUGUUGAUCUCCC